AUUUCCCUACGGGAGGCAGCAGUGAGGACUAUUGGUCAAUGGCCGGGAGGCUGAACCAGCCAAGUCGCGUGAGGGAAGACGGCCCUACGGGUUGUAAACCUCUUUUGUCAGGGAGCAAGGGGCGGGUCGAGACCUGCUGUGAGAGUACCUGAAGAAAAAGCAUCGGCUAACUCCGUGCCAGCAGCCGCGGUAAUACGGAGGAUGCGAGCGUUAUCCGGAUUUAUUGGGUUUAAAGGGUGCGCAGGCGGAAGCACAAGUCAGCGGGAAAAUCCCGGGGCUCAACCCCGCUCC
rnacentral:rRNA from 1 species